rnacentral:rRNA from 1 species
AGUCCUACGGCAUAUUGGCAUUGUUCUAAGUCCACGUGAUUGUGGCUUUAAGUCCACAGAGGGUGUAAGACCCGUACGAACAAUACAGUGUGUCCUGGAUUUGCUCCUAGAGUCGGGUUGUUUGGGAAUGCAGCCCAAAUCGGGUGGUAAACUCCAUCCAAGGCUAAAUACAACACGAGUCCGAUAGCGAACAAGUACCAUGAGGGAAAGUUGAAAAGAACUUUGAAGAGAGAGUUCAAUAGUGCGUGAAACCAUACACAGGAAAACGGACAGAACCGAAGGAGGGUUUGCAUAUUUGUAUUUCACUUAUGCCUGGGGAGUUGCUUAAGACAUUAACCGUGCUUAAGUUGCUUCAUAUAAAGGUAAAGUGUUGUGCUAUUAUGUAAAUCUGACACCAUGAUCGGUUAUUAGGUCUGGCCUGUUAUUAUGCAAGCUACCAACCUUGUGUUGGCGUUAUAGGCUUAAAUAGCAGCGCUAGCCGAAAACCGUUAUGCAAUGCAUGACAUUGUGGUUGGCAUGGGUAUUAUUGUAAUUGGAAAGAGGAUAAUUUACUCCGUUAAAGGAGUAAUUGUUCUUCCGGAAGAUUCAUAGUGCUCCUCUGCUUUCUACAUUAUUAAUCCAUGGUGCAAUUGUAGGUAAUCUGUCCGACCCGUCUUGAAACACGGACCAAGGAGUUUAACAUGUGCGCAAGUCAUUGGGUAUUACGAAACCUAAAGGCGCAGUGAAAGUAAAGGCUUGACUUGUACAAGCUUAGGUGGGAUCCCGAUUUUCAAUGUUACUUUAUAACAUGGAUUGGGCGCACCACCAGCUCGUCCCAUGCUUUAUUAAGUGGGGCGAAGCAAGAGCGCACAUGUUGAGACCCGAAAGAUGGUGAACUAUGCUUGUGUAGGUUGAAGCCAGAGGAAACUCUGGUGGAGGACCGUAGCGAUUCUGACGUGCAAAUCGAUCGUCAAACAUGAGCAUAGGGGCGAAAGACUAAUCGAACCAUCUAGUAGCUGGUUCCCUCCGAAGUUUCCCUCAGGAUAGCAGGCACUCUUGAAACAAACAGUUUUAUCCGGUAAAGCGAAUGAUUAGCAGUAUUGGGGAUUAUAUAUCCUCAACUGAUUCUCAAACUUUAAAUGGGUGAGAUGCCCAACUCUCUUGAACUUAUGGAGUUGAGCGUUUGAAUGUGAGUGCCUAGUGGGCCAUUUUUGGUAAGCAGAACUGGCGAUGUGGGAUGAACCAAACGUCUGGUUACGGAGCCUAACAUAACGCUCAUGAGAUACCACAAAAGGUGUUGGUUGAUUUUGACAGCAGGACGGUGGCCAUGGAAGUCGGAAUCCGCUAAGGAGUGUGUAACAACUCACCUGCCGAAUCAACCAGCCCUGAAAAUGGAUGGCGCUGGAGCGUUGGUCCUAUACCAGACCGUUACCGCGAAUUGCAAAGUAUGCGGUAACGAGUAGGAGGGUGCCGUAGUGAGCGUUGAAGCCUAGGCCGUGAGGUUGGGUGGAGCCGCUACGGGUGCAGAUCUUGGUGGUAGUAGCAAAUAUUCAAGUGAGAACCUUGAAGACUGAAGUGAGAAGGGUUC